rnacentral:tRNA from 1 species
GCGGGAGUUGCCGAGUGGUAAAGGCGCAGGGUUUAGGUCCCUGUCCCAUAGGGGUUCGCAGGUUCGAAUCCUGCCUCCCGCA